UGGGGAAUAUUGGGCAAUGGGCGCAAGCCUGACCCAGCAACGCCGCGUGAAGGAAGAAGGCUUUCGGGUUGUAAACUUCUUUUGGCAGGGACGAAAAAAAUGACGGUACCUGCAGAAUAAGCUCCGGCUAACUACGUGCCAGCAGCCGCGGUAAUACGUAGGGAGCAAGAGUUAUCCGGAUUUACUGGGUGUAAAGGGCGCGUAGGCGGGAAUGCAAGUCAGAUGUGAAAUCUGGGGGCUCAACCCCCAAACUGCAUGUGAAACUGCGGUUCUUGAGUGCUGGAGAGGCUAGUGGAAUUCCUAGUGUAGCGGUGAAAUGCGUAGAUAUUAGGAGGAACACCAGUGGCGAAGGCGACUUGCUGGACACUAACUGACGCUGAGGCGCGAAAGCGUGGGGAGCAAACA
rnacentral:rRNA from 1 species